UACGUAGGGGGCUAGCGUUGUCCGGAUUUAUUGGGCGUAAAGAGCGUGUAGGCGGCCAGGUAGGUCCGGUGUGAAAACUCGAGGCUUAACCUCGAGAUGUCAUCGGAAACCAUCUGGCUAGAGUCCGGAAGAGGAGAGUGGAAUUCCUGGUGUAGCGGUGAAAUGCGCAGAUAUCAGGAAGAACACCAAUGGCGAAGGCAGCUCUCUGGGACGGUACUGACGCUGAGACGCGAAAGCGUGGGGAGCGAACAGG
rnacentral:rRNA from 1 species